UUGCGCUACUGGAUGAGCCUAAGUCGGAUUAGCUAGUUGGUGGGGUAAAGGCCUACCAAGGCGACGAUCCGUAGCUGGUCUGAGAGGAUGAUCAGCCACACUGGGACUGAGACACGGCCCAGACUCCUACGGGAGGCAGCAGUGAGGAAUCUUGCGCAAUGGGCGAAAGCCUGACGCAGCCACGCCGCGUGCCGGAUGAAGGCCCUAUGGGUUGUAAACGGCUUUUGCCAGGGAAGAAAGCCUGGGGUUCGCCCUAGAUUGACGGUACCUGGUGAAUAAGCACCGGCUAACUCCGUG
rnacentral:rRNA from 1 species